rnacentral:rRNA from 1 species
UACGUAGGGUGCGAGCGUUACUCGGAAUUACUGGGCGUAAAGCGUGCGCAGGCGGUUCGCUGUGUCCGAUGUGAAAGCCCCGGGCUUAACCUGGGAAUGGCAUUGGAAACUGGCGGGCUUGAGUGCGGCAGAGGGGGGUGGAAUUCCGCGUGUAGCAGUGAAAUGCGUAGAGAUGCGGAGGAACACCGAUGGCGAAGGCAGCCCCCUGGGUCGAUACUGACGCUCAGGCACGAAAGCGUGGGGAGCAAACAGG